GGAGAGGUGCCCGGAGUGGUUUAUCGGGGAUCGGUUCGCUGGUCGGGUGGCUUGCUGCUCGCGCAGGUUCGAAUCCUGCCCUCUCCG
rnacentral:tRNA from 3 species